GGGGUCCGCUUUGCUGAUCCUUGACGUGAUAAAAUGUUUCUACGUUUUGGGUUUAGCACUGUCGCUUGGAUGCCUGCUCCUAACCCGUCUCAUUGACAAUGAUGGUGCUCUGGUCACCGCCGUCUACAUCGGCGGGAGGCUGGACCCACAAAAAGAAAAACCUUGACCUCAAAUCGGGUGAGACUACCCGCUGAACUUAA
rnacentral:misc_RNA from 1 species